GGGGAAAUUUGGUCGUACGUGCGCGCUGUAUUCUUGGAUGCGGUGCAUGAGGUGAACGUGGGUCUUUUUUCCCACUGUGUCCCUUUACUUUCGGUUGACUUGGAUGAUGCCUGUCUUUUUUUGCAUUGUUUGGCUUCCCCCCAGGGGGGGCUAACCUGGCACCUAAACCAUGGCCUUUGAUGGAUGCUACCGGGUUAAUCCGGCCAUAAUCCUUAUGCUGGCCUCAAAAAUUAACCCGGCAUGGGAA
rnacentral:misc_RNA from 1 species